rnacentral:lncRNA from 1 species
GCCCAAAACAAAAUAGCCCUAAAACCCUACAACAAAGUCUUCCUUGUUCUGUAAAAACUGUACUGCCUGAAUAGUGUCAGGCUGUUUGUCAAACUGGGCAGGUAUGUACUGUACCAGUGCUAACUUUUUUUUUUUUGGCGAGAACAGUGCUAACUGAUGCUAACAAAGCGAAGAUCCAUCUUGCCGAGGAGUAGGCCACUUGAGCCGACGGAAGCUCAGAGGCAACCGCUCAGCUAUUUUAAUUGACCCCGAGGUGACCAGAGCGUUGGAAUCUUCCGAGCACGCAUUUCCGGACCCAUCUCGAAAGCGUUCUCCGAGUCUGACUUGUUUACCGGGUCGAUCUGCGAGCUCGAAGUGGAUACUCACCUCACGGAUUCUCGGAGCCGUCUCUCCCUGCCAGGAGCACGAGGGCGAAGACCAUGUCGGCCUUGAUUUGUUCACGCAUGUGGCAAACGCUUUUAGUAAUUUGCAGCCCUUUGCAUCACCACUUUGACCCACUGUAACUUACGGGGUAGCACCACUAGCGACCUGAACAAACAGACCAUGAAAUAUGUACGCAACCAAAGUAGCAGGGGUUAGAAAGUUAAACUUGUGAAGACAAGAACAAUCUGGGCAUUGCUUUUACCCAAAAGGCAGGCCGCGUAGGAGCUAGCUACUACUAGUGGCUUUUAGAAUGCUCUUUUGAUAUAAUCGAACCGUCCAAUCAGUGUGAGGGCUCCAACUUCGUCGGCUC